UCCCUGUGGUUGCCCUCACUGUUCUUAAUGUAUUUCUCAGAGCCUUGAGACCCUCGCCCCCUGGAGUUCUUCCCAUAGAACGUGGAGGUCAGAAGAGAGAAAGACAGACACUCACAGGUGCGGACCAUCGCCCGGGUUGGGCCUGGACCCACUUGUGCUGUUGGCCCCGCUUCAAGGCGCUGCAGAGAAGUUAGUUGUCUGAUGUCCCAGGGGAAGUCAACCCCAUGUAUGAGGACUAACCGCCUGUGGAGAUGCACUGGGUGAACACCUGUAGCAAACAGCACUAACUUGCCACACACUUGAGCAUACUUUUUGGAAAGAGGUCCUCCAAGACCAGUCAAGCCUUCUGAUGAUUUCUGGCGUGACAGAGCUGUAACUAUCCAAGAACAAACCUUUUCCUAUUAUGCAUCACAUGGGUUGGACAUAAGUGAUUCCACACCCUAGCUUUCAGGUAAUAUUUGACUCAUGCUGUACAGCCUCACAGUGCACGCAAACCUGUGUCACUUCAUUUCACACAGACCCCCUGUGAGAGAGGUUUAUUGUUCCCAUCUUACGGCAGAGGAAACUGAGUCUCCGGGAAAGGUCAAGCCUCUCCAGACUGAAGCCCACCUCUCCAUCCCUAGAAUCCUUUCAAAACCCAGGGAAGGGUAGGAAGCAGGAGCCUGGAUCAGCUGCUCCUCGGGGUUGUUGCUGUAGUCAAGUGACUUUCCAAAUUGGAUCACGUUUCCAGCCAGAGCUGCAAUGCAUCAGACAUUCCUCAGCAACAAGCCAAGCGAGGCUGUGAGUGUCAGCCAUGGAGGAGGCUAAUGAUUUGCUGGUGGCUUUCAAUUACCAGCCUGUUGUCAGAAAUGCCAGCCCGAGAAGGCGGUGUCAAGAUGGUGCCAUGUCUGUGCCAGAGAACUGAGCCGGGGAAGGUGGAGAGGUAGGCGAGGGCCAUUCCUUGCAACUGCCCCAAGGGGUCCCCACAUUGUCGCCAUCUGACUCAAAGGCAGCACAAGAAAUGAGUGGAAGAAAAGAAAGAUCUCUUUGGUGGCUGUAGGCUUGUGGACCAUGGGAUCCUGGGACAGGAUCACUGGAUAUGCAUGCAAAGCAAGACAAAGUCAUAAUUAGGGCCAGGACU